AAUUUUAUAGUAUAAAUACAAUACAUUAAUUUGCAAAAUUAAAAAUGUUGAAAAACUAAGAUUU
rnacentral:tRNA from 1 species